rnacentral:rRNA from 1 species
AUUGAACGCUGGCGGCAUGCUUUACACAUGCAAGUCGAACGGUAACAGGCCGCAAGGUGCUGACGAGUGGCGAACGGGUGAGUAAUGCAUCGGAACGUGCCCAAUCGUGGGGGAUAACGCAGCGAAAGCUGCGCUAAUACCGCAUACGAUCUAUGGAUGAAAGCGGGGGACCGUAAGGCCUCGCGCGAUUGGAGCGGCCGAUGUCAGAUUAGGUAGUUGGUGGGGUAAAGGCUCACCAAGCCAACGAUCUGUAGCUGGUUUGAGAGGACGGCCGGCCAAACUGGGAGUGCGACACGGCCCAGAGUCCUACGGGAGGCAGCAGUGAGGAAUUUUGGACAAUGGGGGCAAGCCUGAUCCAGCAAUGCCGCGUGCAGGAAGAAGGCCUUCGGGUUGUAAACUGCUUUUGUACGGAACGAAACGGUCCUGGUUAAUACCCGGGGCUAAUGACGGUACCGUAAGAAUAAGCACCGGCUAACUACGUGCCAGCCGCCGCGGUAACAC